UACGUAGGGUGCGAGCGUUGUCCGGAAUUAUUGGGCGUAAAGAGCUCGUAGGCGGCCUGUCGCGUCUGCUGUGAAAGCCCGGGGCUCAACUCCGGGUCUGCAGUGGAUACGGGCAGGCUAGAGUCCGGCAGGGGAGACUGGAAUUCCCGGUGUAGCGGUGGAAUGCGCAGAUAUCGGGAAGAACACCCGUGGCGAAGGCGGCUCUCUGGAACGAUACUGACGCUGAGACGCGAAAGCGUGGGGAGCAAACAGG
rnacentral:rRNA from 1 species